AACGAACGCUGGCGGCAUGCCUAACACAUGCAAGUCGAACGAGACCUUCGGGUCUAGUGGCGCACGGGUGCGUAACGCGUGGGAACCUGCCCUUAGGUUCGGAAUAACUCCCCGAAAGGGGUGCUAAUACCGGAUAAUGUCUUCGGACCAAAGAUUUAUCGCCUUUGGAUGGGCCCGCGUUGGAUUAGCUAGUUGGUAGGGUAAAAGCCUACCAAGGCGACGAUCCAUAGCUGGUCUGAGAGGAUGAUCAGCCACACUGGGACUGAGACACGGCCCAGAAUCCUACGGGAGGCAGCAGUGGGGAAUAUUGUACAAUGGGCGAAAGCCUGAUCCAGCAAUGCCGCGUGAGUGAUGAAGGCCUUAGGGUUGUAAAGCUCUUUUACCCGGGAUGAUAAUGACAGUACCGGGAGAAUAAGCUCCGGCUAACUCCGUG
rnacentral:rRNA from 1 species